GAUGAACGCUGGCGGCGUGCCUAAUACAUGCAAGUCGAGCGAACAGAUUAAGAGCUUGCUCUUAUGAAGUUAGCGGCGGACGGGUGAGUAACACGUGGGCAACCUGCCUUGUAGAUGGGGAUAACACCGAGAAAUCGGUGCUAAUACCGAAUAACACUUCAGUUCACAUGAACAGAAGUUAAAAGUUGGCUUAGGCUAACACUACGAGAUGGGCCCGCGGCGCAUUAGCUAGUUGGUGAGGUAACGGCUAACCAAGGCGACGAGGCGUAGCCGACCUGAGAGGGUGAUCGGCCACACUGGGACUGAGACACGGCCCAGACUCCUACGGGAGGCAGCAGUAGGGAAUCUUCCGCAAUGGACGAAAGUCUGACGGAGCAACGCCGCGUGAGUGAUGAAGGUUUUCGGAUCGUAAAACUCUGUUGUUAGGGAAGAACAAGUACCGUUCGAAUAGGGCGGUACCGUGACGGUACCUAACCAGAAAGCCACGGCUAACUACGUGCCAGCAGCCGCCGUAAGAC
rnacentral:rRNA from 1 species